rnacentral:rRNA from 1 species
CAGCAGUGAGGAAGGUGGAGUCGUUAAUAGCGACCUCAUUUGACGUUAGCUGCAGAAGAAGCACCGGCUAACUCCGUGCCAGCAGCCGCGGUAAUACGGAGGGUGCGAGCGUUAAUCGGAAUUACUGGGCGUAAAGCGCAUGCAGGUGGUUUGUUAAGUCAGAUGUGAAAGACCCGGGGCGUCAACCUCGGAAUUGCAUUUGUAAACUAGGCAAACUAGAGUACUGUAGAGGGGGGUAGGAAUUUCAGGUGUAGCGGUGAAAUAGCGUAGAGAUCUGAAGGAAUACCGGUGGCGAAGGCGGCCCCCUCGGACAGAUACUGACACUCAGAUGCGAAAGCGUGGGGAGCAAACAGGAUUAGAUACCCUGGUAG